GAUGAACGCUGGCGGCGUGCCUAAUACAUGCAAGUAGAACGCUGAAGGAAGGAGCUUGCUCUUUCCGGAUGAGUUGCGAACGGGUGAGUAACGCGUAGGUAACCUGCCUGGUAGCGGGGGAUAACUAUUGGAAACGAUAGCUAAUACCGCAUAACAGUAGAUGUUGCAUGAUAUCUACUUAAAAGGUGCAAUUGCACCACUACCAGAUGGACCUGCGUUGUAUUAGCUAGUUGGUGAGGUAACGGCUCACCAAGGCGACGAUACAUAGCCGACCUGAGAGGGUGAUCGGCCACACUGGGACUGAGACACGGCCCAGACUCCUACGGGAGGCAGCAGUAGGGAAUCUUCGGCAAUGGACGGAAGUCUGACCGAGCAACGCCGCGUGAGUGAAGAAGGUUUUCGGAUCGUAAAGCUCUGUUGUAAGAGAAGAACGAGUGUGAGAGUGGAAAGUUCACACUGUGACGGUAUCUUACCAGAAAGGGACGGCUAACUACGUG
rnacentral:rRNA from 1 species